rnacentral:rRNA from 1 species
UACGAAGGGUGCUAGCGUUGUUCGGAUUUACUGGGCGUAAAGCGUGCGUAGGUGGCUUUACAAGUCAGGGGUGAAAUCCUGGAGCUCAACUCCAGAACUGCCUUUGAUACUGAGAAGCUUGAGUCCGGGAGAGGUGAGUGGAACUGCGAGUGUAGAGGUGAAAUUCGUAGAUAUUCGCAAGAACACCAGUGGCGAAGGCGGCUCACUGGCCCGGUACUGACGCUGAGGUGCGAAAGCGUGGGGAGCAAACAGG